rnacentral:rRNA from 1 species
UACGUAGGGGCCGAGCGUUGUCCGGAUUCAUUGGGCGUAAAGAGCGUGUAGGCGGCCGCUUAAGUCCUGCGUGAAAUCUCGGAGCUCAACUCCGGCGGUCGUGGGAAACUGGGCGGCUAGAGUGCGGGAGAGGAGAGUGGAAUUCCUGGUGUAGCGGUGGAAUGCGCAGAUAUCAGGAAGAACACCCGUGGCGAAGGCGGCUCUCUGGAACGCAACUGACGCUGAGACGCGAAAGCGUGGGGAGCAAACAGG